GGAGGCAUAAUAAGGAUUCUAAGAAUUACAGCCCUGGGGCCACAAUGAGUGCUGGUCGAGGCUUGACUGUUUUGUUAACCAUUUUGGUUGCUGUUGCAAAAGCAGAAACUAUGGCAACGACAACAGAAACUACGGCAACGACAACAGAAACUGCGGCUCCAACAACUGGUUCAACUGCAGUAACAACAACAGAAACUGCGGCAACAACAACAACAACAGAAAC